GACGAACGCUGGCGGCGUGCUUAACACAUGUAAGUCGAACGAUGAAGCCUAGCUUGCUAGGUGGAUUAGUGGCGAACGGGUGAGUAAUACGUGAGUAACCUACCUUUAACUCUGGGAUAAGCCUGGGAAACUGGGUCUAAUACCGGAUACGACCAAUCUCCGCAUGGGGUGUUGGUGGAAAGCGUUAUGUAGUGGUUAUAGAUGGGCUCACGGCCUAUCAGCUUGUUGGUGAGGUAACGGCUCACCAAGGCGACGACGGGUAGCCGGCCUGAGAGGGUGACCGGCCACACUGGGACUGAGACACGGCCCAGACUCCUACGGGAGGCAGCAGUGGGGAAUAUUGCACAAUGGGCGCAAGCCUGAUGCAGCGACGCCGCGUGAGGGAUGACGGCCUUCGGGUUGUAAACCUCUGUUAGCAGGGAAGAAGAGAGAUUGACGGUACCUGCAGAGAAAGCGCCGGCUAACUACGUGCCAGCAGCCGCGGUAAUACGUAGGGCGCGAGCGUUGUCCGGAAUUAUUGGGCGUAAAGAGCUUGUAGGCGGCUUGUCGCGUCUGCUGUGAAAGGCCGGGGCUUAACUCCGUGUAUUGCAGUGGGUACGGGCAGACUAGAGUGCAGUAGGGGAGACUGGAAUUCCUGGUGUAGCGGUGGAAUGCGCAGAUAUCAGGAGGAACACCGAUGGCGAAGGCAGGUCUCUGGGCUGUAACUGACGCUGAGAAGCGAAAGCAUGGGGAGCGAACAGG
rnacentral:rRNA from 1 species